CCCUUAGAUGUCCGGGGCUGCACGCGCGCUACACUGAAGGAAUCAGCGUGCUAAAACCAUUGUCGAAAGGCAUUGGUAAACCCAUUAAAAUCCUACGUGAUUGGGAUCGGGAAUUGCAAUUAUUUCCCUUGAACGAGGAAUUCCCAGUAAGUGUGGGUCAUAAGCUCGCGUUGAUUACGUCCCUGCCCUUUGUACACACCGCCCGUCGCUGCCCGGGACUGAGCCGUUUCGAGAAAAGCGGGGACUGCUGCUGUCGGGGCUUUCGGGCCUUAGCUUCGGUGGAAACCGCUUUAAUCGCAGUGGCUUGAACCGGGCAAAAGUCGUAACA
rnacentral:rRNA from 1 species